GAAGGGGGCCAUCUUUAACUUCUUAGGAAGGGUGUUCCAGAGGUGGGAGGGGGUGGCCACAGAGAAGGCCCCUUCUCCUUCCAACGCUUGAGACGGGGGUGGGACCGAGAGCAGGGCCUCCUCCGAUGACAGCAGUGUCCAAGUUGGUAUAUAGUGGGAGAUGCGGUUCAUCAAAUAGUCUGGACCUGAGACAUUUAGGGCUUUUUUUAAAAAAGCAUGUUACACAUAGAUACAGUAAUAGUAUAACUGGGAAUUUAUUCUAUGGAAAAAUUACACAUAAAUGAUUUUUAUAGAAAACAUCAUUUCUGAAGAGGAAAUUGCAUUUCUAUGCAGAAAUUAAUAUUUCUGUAUUGAAAUAUUACUUACCAAGCAUAAAAUGUUGUCUCCUGUUCAGCAGAUGUUUUCUGCAUAAAACAAACACAUGCUAAUUUUGUACAAAAGUCCCAAAUUGCAUAUAGCCUUUGAAAAUUGUGUGGUUGAAGAAAAUGGCUGAAAGUGCUCAUCAUUGCGACAUUGGAGAAGAAAUGUAUCCGUAGGCUGUGCUCAGUGACUCUGGCAGCUAAAGUCAGAAAGUACCUUUUCUCAAUUGUGGUGGGUUAUAAACAAGAACUUGUGGUAAAAUAUUGGAAAUGUCAUAUUAGAGCUGUGUUGCUAGCAUAAGAAACUCAACACAAAAUUCUUGGAGGGACAUGACACUAUUUAAGCAUUGCAUGAAUUCCUCCCAACCCCACUAUUCAUGUGCACGUGUGAAUGUUAGUGCAGACCAAAAAGUGAAAAAAAUCUUUUAAAUAUACACGCACAGAGAGAAAGAUAGAAAACACACACACAAUAGCAUCCAUGUGUAUAUUCUAGCUGAUCUAGGCUUAACAACUACAUUCUACAAUGCAGAAAUGCAAACACUGUCUUAGUAUCAUGUGAAAAUGCCCCGAGGUAACAUUCUUGGUAAAGUGGGAAGAUAGAAAAGACUGUCAGGCUGAGAGGCAGUGGCUGUCAGCAAGUGCUGCAAAUGUACUCUUUAAUUAUUCAGUGCUGUAUUUGACCUAGGGCAUGUCCUUAUACGGCUUCUCUCAGGAUCAGAUGCUGUUCUCCAUUGGUUUGCAGCAUGAUGACUGACAGACCAAGGUGGAUAGUCUUCUCCCUUGCCAGCUUUCUGCCAUGGAUGCAGGUGGGAGCUUAUUUAUCCCCAACUGGGAUGCACAGCUAUAGGUACCAACAUUUACUACAGCCGUAUUCCCUAAGAUCUUGGAAUCAUAUGAGUUUUCUAAUCCUUCAUCAAUGUAGGAAAACUACUGCUACAGCAUCCCUGUUAAAGGUUCCUCCAGUCUUAAAAUCAUCUAAUAAGUGGUAUCUCAUUGUAAAUGAGCUGGGGGAAAAUAUUAUUUGAGCUAUUUAAUGAAUGUAUGUAUUUACUUUAUUUUUAUUCUGCCUUUCUCCCAUUUCAGGGACUCAAGGCAGCUCACAGCAAAUAUGACAGGAAACAAUUAAAACAUUAAAAUUGCAUUAAAUAUGAAUAUAAAAAUUAAAAAAGAAAUAUCUCAUGUCCUGAACCUAAAAAUAUUAGAAUAUAUUUAAAGCUACACUUAAAAACUACACAGCCUCGCAAAUUCCCACACACAUCAUCUGCAGCAAUCUGUCUCUCAUCAUUCCAUAAACACUUGAUGGCAGAGGUAUAUUUUCAUUUGCCUGCAAAAGGCAAACAGGGAUGGGGCCAUCUUUCUAGGGAAGGAAGUUCCAGAGUCUGGGAGAAGUCACCGAAUAGGCCCUCUCCCAUGUUCUCACCAAAUACACCUGUGGGGGUGGGGUGACAGAGAGAAGGCCUUCUACAGAUUAUCUUGGUGUUCUUGGGGCCCUUCCAGACAUGCCCAAAAAUGCGGGAUCUGUCACACUUUUACCUGAGGUGUCCAAACGACACUUCAGGUAAAAGCAAAUUAUUUCAGAACAAAGUAGGUUUUCCCUGUUUUGUUCUGAAUUAAUUAGACACUUGGUAAGAUCUUAGGUAAGACCCGGGUCUUACCAGAUGAGGCUCCUAUGUGGAUUGGGCCUAGGGACUGCAUUAUGCGAUCCUGAGACCCAAUCCACUCAGCCAUCUCAGUUUCCGAAAAGACACCCACCCUCUCCCUCCAAACCUCCAAAACAAACCUUAAAACUUUUUUUUAAAAAAAAAUGGGCCGGGCCACCAUUACAGUGCCAGGAGAGGGGGGAGGAAUGAACCCCCCCCCCCGGUCUCCUGGUGCAUCAUUUCUACAUACCAGGAAAAUGGAAGGAUCACCGUAAUGGCAGCCCAGUAUGUUUUUUUAAAUUGUAAGGCUUGUUUUCUGAGAUUUCAGGAUGGCUGGAUGCCAUCCCAGUAGUUACUGAGAUGGUAUCUAGACCCCCCCCCCCCUGAAAAGCCCAGGUUUUGGGUGUGUGUGUGAACUUAAACUUGCACCGAAGCAGGCUUUUUAAACCCACUUUGGUGCCAGUUUAAGUUAUAUCUGGAAGCGCCCUUACAUGCUCAUAUAGAGAUAUAUGGUUUUUCAAAUACCUGUGCCCAAGCUGUAUAGACUUUAUGGGUCAACUUGGGUGAUCUUGGUUGACCCAUACACUUUCAGAAAACCCCAUAAGUUGGAAAUGACUUGAUGGCAAGUAAAAUUAACAGUCUUUAAGCUAGACAUCCCAGCAACUUCAGUUUUCUCUUGUAAAACAUGGCCUACUUCUUCCUUAUGGUCUUUGCUGCCCAUUCCAGUCUAUUGAUGUUUUUUCCCUAAACUAUGGUGUUUAAAACUAGAAUAUUGUUUCAGAUGAAGUUCUGGGUACAGUCUACCAGCCAGGUACACAUCUGCCUAACAGCACAAUAUAAUUUACAUUUUACCAGCUUGUUAACAACAAUAUUAUAGACUUAUAAGACUCACUAAAAUCCAAGAUAAAUUGCUACUACAGCAUUCCCUUGAUAUAUCAAAUGAGUAGCUUUUUUUGUUUAUUUUUUAAAAGACAAAGUCAGCCUGACAAGACCUUUCUUUGAGAAACUUUACUCGUAGAGUUGGAAGAGACCUCGUGUGCCAUCCAGUCCAACCCCCUGCAAGAAGCAGGAAAAUCUCAUUCAACGCACCUUAAUGCUUUAGAUUUACCAUGAAAAUUACUCCCACUCUGUUCUCAUGAGAAUGUUUUUACAAAAUCCCUUGAUGUAUGCUUGUCAACACAACAUGUUAUGCCAUCCCCUGAGCAGGGUGAAAGAAGAAGGCCUAUUCCCCAUUGUCACUAACAGAGCUUGGGAAAUUUAUUUCCUUGGACUACAUCUUUCAGAAUCCCCAUAACAGUAUAAACACUGUCCAUGCUGGCUAAGGGAUUCUGGUUGUCAGUUCAGAAGAAAAUGUUUCCAACCUCCGAUUUCCAUACACUGUGUCUGAACUUGAAGAUUCCCAUUUACUUAUCUCUGGUGCACCUAUCUCUGUAUUACUUUAAUCCUUUCUGGAAGUAAUAUAAGAUAGCAAUUCUGUAGAUACAUGCUGAAUAUUGGUCUAAAUCCUUUUGUCAGUUCUAACUAGAGAAGACCUAAUAAAGCAAUAGAAUUUACCUGUGUUUUAUCUUACAUUUAACUAUGGAGUCAAUGAGUUUAUUCUCAUUCAGAUUAAGCCAUAAUUCUAGGCAAUAUUUAUUAUUUGAACCUCAUGCUAAAAUCUCAUAUCUUCAGAUACUGUAGUCUUUUUUAUAGGUUGUUUAAAAUGUUUAUGACAGUUUUCCUUCAUUUAUAAGGAUGAAAAACAUCUAUUUGGAAAUUGCGGCAGAUAGAAGUAGAAAGGAGGAGGAGGUUCCAGCUGACAAAAAGAUUGAUUCUCAGUUAAAACAGACACUUCAUCAGAUCUGUAGCUUUUGAAUGACUGUGUCAAAGAUGAAGCCUGACCAGCCAGCAUUCUUUGGACUAGUGAAAAAUUGCUAUCAUUUAAAAACUCAAACACCAUAUUUAUACUACAGAUGUUCUCUUAACACAGGUUUCUGGGAAGAAAACAAGAUAACCAAAAAUUCUUGAUUAUAGCUUAAGAAAGCAAUGCAAUUUUGGGCUUCCAAUCAAUUGCCUCCCACAUCCCUGGGAUCUCACUGAUGUAGAAUCUCUGGCUAUUAUGUGUUGCCCUUUGUCAGUUUUGUUGAUAAAAAGUUAAAGAGUCCACACAUGCUUAAAUAAUAGAAUUUAAACUGAUGAACUUUACUGUUUCUUUCAAGGGCAUAGAAUUAUGCACCAUAGCUUGGAAAUGUAAUGCCUUGGGAAUUCUGGGAACUGCAGUCCAUUUUUCCCCAAACUCUAAAUGAGAGGAAGCAUGGAUACAUUAUGCUUAAAUUGAGAUCAAUAAUACCUUUCUGGGAAUGCAGAAAUAUAUUCUUUUGAGAAAACCACCCUACAAAAUAUUAUUAGUUGCAUAAGAUAUACACAUCUUCACUGAAGCUUUGAUCUCUGCUGUUAGAAAAUAAAACCUGGGCUGUAGCACAGCUUGUAAAUCACCAGCAGUAAUAAGAUCUACCAACCGAAAGCCCGGACGGGGUGAGCACCCGACUGUUAAGCCCUGCUCACUGUUUACCUGAGCAGUUUGAAAACAGCUGAGCUGUAAAUAGAGAAAUUAGAUACCGUUAAUUUAGCGGGGGGCGUAUUUUACGACACCAUAAAUUGCCAGUGACCAAAAAGAAGGAGGAAGUCCUGAUGGCUUUUUGUCAUAGAGAAUGGAACAACAGCACCCCUCUGUGGCUGAAUCUGAGCACAACCUGCAAGGCACAACUUCCGAACACGAUCUCCAAGGCACCGAAGCUGGACUUCAAACACAACAUAUCUCCUUUCUAUCUUUUCUGUUCUGUUCUGUUCUGUUCUGUCCUGUCCAAAGGGCAUUGAAUGUUUGCCAUAUAUGUGUACUGUGAUCCACCCUGACUCCCCUUGGGGAGUCAGGGCGGAAUAUAAAUAAAGUGCUAUCAUCAUCAUCAUCAUCAUCAUCAUCAUCAUCAUCAUCAUCAUCUGACUUGGCCAUGGUGGUCCGCGCCUUAGUUACCUCUAGAUUGGACUACUGCAAUGCGCUCUAUUUGGUACUGACUCUGAAGAUGGCUCAGAAAUUGCAGUUGAUACAAAGAUUGGUGACCAGGUUAUUAAUUGGAGCGCAUUACAGGGAACGGUCAACCCCCUGUUUAAAUAGCUCCACUGGCUGCCAAUAAGUUUCCGGGCCCAAUUCAAGGUGUAGGUUAUCAUCUACAAAGCCCUAAAUGGUUUGGGACCUGCCUAUCUUCGUGAUUGCAUCUUCUUCUAUGAACCUGCGUGAGCUCUAAGAUCUGUGGAGGAGGCCCUUCUCUUGCUCCCACCACCGUCUCAAGCCUUCUCUGUGGUGCCCCCCCCCCGCGCUCUGGAACUCUUUCCCCAGGGAGAUUAGACUGGUACCCACCUUGUCCACAUUCCACAAAGAUCUAAAAAUGUGGAUGUUCUGUUGUGCUUUCGAUUAAACAGUUCACAGGAAAUCCUGCGCCCACUAUAACUACCAUCAGUCCUCGCACUUUAUCUCUGUCCUUCGUCCUAUAGCUUUAGCACUAAAUGACAUUGCUCCUUCAGUUCUAAUUUAUUAUUCUCCUUCAUUUUGUCCUCCAGUCCUAUUCUGGAAGUAUACUACACAAGUCCCUUCCCCCCAAAUUUCAGUACUCAUUACGGGACAGAUUUUUGGUUGUUGAUGAUGCUGUUUUAUUGUCUUUUGUAAUGUUGUUGAUUUUAUUGAGUUAUGUUUUAAUCUAUGGUUGGUUUUAAUCUUGUUGGAUUGGGCUUGUUCCCCAUGUAAACUGCCCCAAGUCCCUUCAGGGAGAUGGAGACAGGAUAUAAAACUUAAGUUGUUGUUGUUGUUGUUGUAUGACACAGCAAACAAGAUAGAUAUGCUGGAUUUCGUAUAACAAAAUCACAAGUCAAACACUUCCCAAGUGUCUAGGAUUGUGUGAUGUAUUUUUAUUAUUAUACCUGAGUUUUUAACAAUUCAGAAAUUGUUGCUGGCACAUGGCAAAGUUAGAUCACAUAGUUUUAACCUUUAUGACUCCCCCCCCCACCAAAUUCUGAGAAGUAUAGUAUAACAAAAAAGAUUACUAUUUUUUUCUUUCAGAAAUCCUUCUUGCUUACUUCCAGCCAUCAAGAAAUGAAUUUAGAGAAAGCAUCUGAACUGUGGAUUUCUGAGCCGUUGUAAAGCCUAUAUGUAUAUGUAAAUCCUCUUACUUGCAGAAUGUUCCAAAGAUGCAAGAAGAAACAUUCAAGUGUUUGUCAAAAGUGUGUUCAGAAAUAUAUUUAAUACAAAGGAGAUAAAACCACAAAAUCUAAAACAUUUGUUUUACUAUGUAGACUCCACAUUAUCUGUGUUACAUUUCAGAAUUACAUAAAUAGAAAGGUUAUGUUUGUUAAUCUGAGAAACAGACUUCAUUCAUUAAUGACCUAAGAUCUUUUUCCCUCUGAAGGCAUGCCUCCACACCAUGAUUCCUGUUACUAUUUUUGGGAGUGAGGAGCUCUCUGGAGUCCCUUUCCCUUGGCUCUGGUCAAGGCACACCAGCAAUAUGAUGGACCUCAUCAUAAGCAGGCUUCCUCCUGUUUCUACACACUUUAAAAUCAGAGUGUCACAAAUGCUAUCACACAAUGCAAGACUAGGUACUUAGAAGUGGAAAAAGACACAAAAUGUAAUGUGUGAUGGUCAUUGUUGUAUUUCUUCAUGUAAUUAGCACUUUAUGACUUUUACUUAUGAGCAUUCUUAAGUUUUCCUCAAGUCUACUCUUGCCGUCAUUACCCCACAAGAACAGACAUUUCAAUGGUAAUUUUUAAAAUAUCUAUAUGAUAAAUUGCUGAAAUUUUGCAAUAUAGAAUAUUUCCCAAAAUCCCAAAAUUUUGCACUUUUGUUACUGCAUAGUUACCCUUAUUUUUUAAAAAGAAAGAAAGAAAAUGAAAUCGAUAUGGAUGGAGAUCAUCAUUCUGCUCAUGAUGGCAGAUGAAGUGGAUGAUAAGGUAGAUUAAAUUCUCCACUUUUAAACAACAUGAAUAGGUACGGAAUGCCACGAUAAGAAGAUGCCCCUGCUUUCACCUGCUCUCUCCCUCAAAUGGGAUGAAGUCUGGUGUCUACACAAGCAUCCUGCAUCAAAGCUAAGGCUGCAAGUCACUGAGUUGGUUGCAGACAAGGACUUGCCUUAUUCACUGUUGGUGAAGGAUCUGGUGGUGAUCCAAGGAGACAUCACAUUCCUCACUCAAAUACGCUCACAAUGUAAUGAAGUCAAAAAGAUCCUGGAAGAGCUAAAGCUGCAUUUGGUUGAGGUUACUGAUGAGGGAGCCACUUUGGGUGGAAGUUAUGUCCUUUUCACAGGUAGAGUGUUAAUUGUGGGCAUAUCCAAAUAUUAUUUUAUUUAUCCCGUUCUGGUUAGUGCACCAGGACGAUGACAGGCUAGUGACGCACAAUCUUCUUUAUAUCACUGGCAGGUGGCUAAUUUUUCUAAUUGUUAUGCAUAUUUACAUAUUAAAGCUAAGUUGUGUCAUCAAAAUGGGAUUAAUUGUGUUUUUAAUUCAUCUUUUUCUUGUUUCUUGUUUUAAUUUUGUUCCAUUUACAUUUUAUAUUAAUUUGAAUGAGUCAUCAAAUCAAAUCUUAUUUUAAAUACAUUAAUCAUCACUGAUUUCAAUAGCAUUUUUGAUCAAACAGGUGCCUGAAAUUCAACCUGUAAGAUCUGGCCCUUAAAGUAUGAGUUAAUGCCAUGUUGCAAUGACAGUUUUGCACUUACACUGAGCUGAUUGAGGCUGGCACUAAGGGUCAAGGUAGAUGUUAAGGGAAAUACAUACUUCCUACAAUUUACUUGUUUUAUAUCAAAUUUUACUAAGAGAUAAAUGCCUCACCAAUCACAUAUGCCAUUUCGAAGUCUGAUUGGUGAGGCAUUUAUCUCUUAGUUGUCGAAGGCUUUCAUGGCUGGAAUGACUGGGUUGCUGUGAGUUUUCCAGGAUGUAUGACCAUGUUACAGAAGCGUUAUCUCUAUGUGACCUUGGGAAGGCCAAUACCUCUCAAUCUACACCUUCUACACCCAGGUUUGUGAAUUGUGAGUAUUUGGAAGCUUUUUGAGUAUAUAGGGAGGGACUAUUCUCAGAACAACAAAAAAGAAGAAAAGGACAUGGAAGCUGUGCCCUUGCAUGAUCCAUUAGGGCACAGGAUAUGACAAGCAAUAGAUUACAUGAUAUAAUGACAUAAAUCUGUUCAGAUUCUAUCACUUUCCAAAGCACUGGGAAAAUUUCAUUUCUAAAAUUUUGAGCUCUUGACAGGUUCAGAAGGAACCAUAUCCUGUAGCCCAUAGCAUGUACCUUGUGGGCAAGAAUAAGUAGUUUGCAAACUAAGAUGAUAAUCCAUGUUUUAUGGAAGGUGUGCUAAAGUCCAUGUUUUAUGGGUCAACUAAGCAAGUAUAGGAGAAACAUUCCUACCUGCAGUAUAUACCUGUCCUAUUUAAUUGCCUAUUAUUUCCUUCAAUGAAGUGCUAGGGAAAUAUAUGGACAUUUUUUUUAUUUGCAAUGCAACCUGUCUUAAUAUCGGGACCAAGAUCUGGAUGCACAAAAUAUACUGAAAAUAAAACACAAUUAUAUAGACAUCUGCCAUUACAUUUCUUUUUCAAGAAAAUGAAGAUAUUUAUCUGAACGGAGUUCAUGAAGGCAAGCAAAUAUAUUCCAGCUGCCAGUGAUUUUAUUUUAGAAAGAGGCUUAAUGAACUUUAUAAGGUAAUUGUAAGUUGUAUUGUGCAGGAAAGGUCUUUAUACCAACUAAUGAAAUGCGGCUACCUCUUCAUUAAAAUCUGUGAGAUGUUUCAUAGCAAUUCUCUACAUUGUAACCAUGGAAAUGGGGUAAUAUAUAGCAUCAGAACGAAGUGAUAUGUAGCAAUGAAAUGCCCCCAGAUACUGAAUGUUUGCUGAAACACUUAAAACAAAUCAAAUAGCUUGAUGGUUAUUCCAUAAACCCAAGUAGCCAGCAUUGUAUAUCUUCUUUAUGUAGAGGAGACAAAAUUGACUGCUGAGGCCAAAAACAGCAACAUAUUUUCAGCGUAACAGUCUUGGCACAGUUUCUAGCCACAUGUGUUGUGAUUAAUGGCCCAGAUAGGUAUUUACGUAUCUCCUGGACCAAGAAAAAGUGACUUUUUUGAACCAAGGAAACAUAUUUAUGGGUGGCUGUUGACCACGCAAGAAACUACAACAAAUUCCAAAAUCCACAAAAGAGUGAUAUCUUUAUUGGCCAACCAAAAUGAAGAAAAUACAUCUUGUAAGCUUUCAAAUCAUACAAGAGAAGAAAAGGGACAAUUUGUUCGAAUCCCAUGCUUACAACUGGAGUCACCUCUGUUGUUAGUUACAAUGAUCUGGAGGGAUCUCAAAUGUAGGCAGAGACCUUCUUGGUCUUGUGGGGAUGUGGGACUAAGGGCAGCAAAAUAUGGUUAAUAAAAUUUCAUCUCUAUUAGCAACAGAAGAGUAACUUCCCUUGGGAUUCUGGCUGCUUCUGCCUUCUUUGAAGCUAACUGUCCCUGUCUUAGGCAGCGAACAUUGAAUUUCUCAAGAACUAAAGCUCUCAGAAUCCCCCAGGACAUAUGACCACAUUUCUUAGUGUAGAUAUUUGAUUCUUCUAUGCUCAGUGAUGCCUGAGUGAUUAUCUUAGAGGCUCAGGCUUUAGUUACAAGGCACAUGACAGCAACAUCCCUUGAACAAAUGCUACCUGGUAAACACACUGUUGUGUUCAUUUCAUUUCUUUCAUCUGUGAGAGCCAAAGUUUCAGUCCUUUAAAAGAAUGUCCUAAGAGAAUUAAGAAGAGCCCCACCUGAUCAGAUCAAAGGCUUGUUUAGCUAUAUUUCUCUACAGAUUCUGUUCCCAGACAGAUGCCUAUGUCAGCGUGCCAGAAGUGUAAAAAUACACACACACCCCCCCACACACACUUGUGUUUCCCAAAAAACUGAUAUACACAGAAGCACAGUCAAAAGAAUAUCGAGUCAUCAGGACUAGCAGCCAUUUAUAGCUUUAUCCUCAUCAUGUUACAGCAUGAGUUUAUUUAAACCAAUAUACAGGUUGUGGAGUAAGUAAUGCCAUCACACAGUCAAAAUCUGUUAUCAUGGCUGCAGUUCUCCAGAGAAAGGCACCUGGCGACCAAAAAUAUUGUCAGCUUUCUGAUCCUAAGCUCAGCCUCCCAGUUUUUUCUAGUAACAUCUCUUAAGCGCUGACAAAAGCUACCGUGCAUUGUUCUUUAAAGGAUUUUCUUCUUCCCUCCUACCUUGUAUUAAGAGCCAACUGUCUAGCUCCAGCAAAUUCCCACUGAAACAUGUUACCAAACUAUCAGGUCAGGCAUGGGCAAACUUCAGCCCUCCAGGUGUUUUGGACUUCAAUUCCUAACAGCCUGCUGGAUAUUAGGAAUUGUGAGAGUUGAAGUCCAAAACACCUGGAGGGCCGAGGUUUGCCCAUUUGUCAUGUAAGGGACUUUGUGAGGUAAAGGACUCCGUCCAAGUAUUGCACUGGGGCAAUCCACACAGUAGUGCUGUUCACAAAAAUCUCAUAAAGGACGUGCAUCAAGACCAGUGGUUCUCAACCUGUGGAUCCCCAGAUGUUUGGCCUUCAACUCCCAGAAAUCCUAACAGCUGGUAAAUUGACUGGAAUUUCUGGGAGUUGUAGGCCAAAACACCUGGGGACCCACAGGUUGAAAACCACUGAUCAAGACCAUUCUGAACCCUUUGAAAGAUGGAACACUGAUGCCAGGCUUGUUAACUGGGUGUUUUUACUAAAGCCUCAAGUUCCGAGAUCCAGAACCUGGUAGAAAAACAUAAUUUCCUUUCACACCAUACCAUUAAAAAACCAUGAUUCCAGUUUGACUAUCACAGCCAGUACCACAUGGGCUUUCAGAUUACACUGUCCAACAUCUAGCAUUUGUUGCCUCAAAUGCUAGAUCUGUUUCUGGGUAUAGAAAAUCAUCGUAGCCAUAUCUAAGAAAAUGAUACAGUCUAUCCAAUCUAAUUUUCUGUAUCAGCACCCCAAAUAACUCCAGGAACAAGCCUAAAAACUAAAACACCCAUACCAGCAUAUAAUACCAUUUUAAAGGAGCUGUAUUGACUUCCACUUUAAAUUCAAGUUCAUGUUUUAGCUGGAGAGCCUUCACUGAACAGGAAGUUGGACUCUAUGACCCAUGAGACCCCUUCCAACUCUAUGAUUCACCCCCCCCCCCCUAAAUGGUUUGAGAUUUGGGAGAGGGCCUUCUUAGCUGUGGUACCACAACUAUACACUUGUACAACCUUGGAGGUCCAACUGCUGCCUGCUUUGCUUUCUUUCCAGUGCCACGUCAAAUAAAGACUUUCUUGUUAAAGAUUUUAAUACAAUUUUAUUUCAAAGGUAUACAUGCAUACGGUUUUAAAUUCUUUCAGGAACGUUUUUGGUUGUUGCUUUUUAAAAUGUUUUCAACUAUUGCUAGAUGUUUUCAUCUUGUUAAAAAUAUUUCUGUUUUAAUUGUAUGCUGAUCUGAGAAUUGGUCAUAAAGGGCAAGAUAGAAGUGGUUUAAUAAUAAAUAAAUAAAUAAAUAAAAGUAUUAAUUAAUUUUAAAUCCUUUCAAGGCAAGGGGUUUUUAUUUUAAGGAAUAAGCAACAGCCAAGAACAAUUUAGAUGAUUUCUAGUAGAUUAAUGAAAACCUGUGCUCUUCUCCCUUAGGCCUGUAGGCAAAGCCUUCCUUUGCAGCUGUGUGAAAUGUCAUUACACAAAUGUCAUAGGCCCCUGUUGGCUAGUGGCCAUGACAUCAUCAUUGACCCAUGACACAGUUCCUCUUUUUCACGUCUGGUACCAUUUUGUGUCUUUUGAAAAAUAUACCUUUUCUAUAUAAUAUAAUUGUAAAAAUACUUCUCUCUUACUUUUUUAGAGCUUCAGGUGAGGAUUGCUGAAUCAUUCGAACUGGACAGCCUGUAGCUACAUCUUUGAACACGCCAGAAAUGAUGGCAAUCACAGGCAAAGAUAUAGGUCCUACUUAUCUCUGCUAAAUAAUAAAGUUCUGCCACUGCAAUUAUGUGGAAAUCUGGGAGAGCAAUGGACAUCUAUCUGGCGAUGGAUCCUUCUCCUUGGGCCCACGUACUGCCUUUGACGCUCGCUCCGAAAGCAGGCUUUGGCUAAUGAUCAAGCGGCAUCCAGACUGCGGUGCAGUCGUCAUCCUGGAUUUCGUUGCGGGUUCUGCCUCCUGCCUUCUCUCUAGCUGUAAAGGUCUCUGAAGUGGCAGUGAGUCUAGAAAUUGAUAAAUAAUGGAGGGCUUUGUGCCAGUGUUUUUCAAAUGUGUAAAAAUGUCACUUACAAAUGUUGGAGUGAUUACUUGCUAAUUAUAAAUGACAUUUUAACAAACUGAAUCUCUGUUUAGUUGCAACAUUUCACUCUUGCAAUAAGGCCUCUGCUGUUUUCUUUGGACACAAGAAGAAGUGUGAGGAUAUGUUCCUCUCUCUAUCUCUCUCCUUUAUAAAUACACACACAUACGUACAUGGCUUACCUAGUGGCUGUACAAGGACAAUUUUACUAUCUGAAAUGGCAUCCUGCACGUCAAGGAAACCUUUGGAACCUAAUGCAGAAAAGAGUACAAGCUUUCGAACCUUCUCUUUCCCCAGUACAAUUUAAGCAUAAUAAAUUAAAUAACCAACA